GACGAACGCUGGCGGCGUGCUUAACACAUGCAAGUCGAACGGAAAGGCCCCUUUGGGGGUACUCGAGUGGCGAACGGGUGAGUAACACGUGAGUAACCUGCCCUUGACUUCGGGAUAACUUCAGGAAACUGGGGCUAAUACCGGAUAGGAAUCCUUGCUGCAUGGUGUGGGUUGGAAAGCUUCGGCGGUUUUGGAUGGACUCGCGGCUUAUCAGCUUGUUGGUGGGGUAGUGGCUUACCAAGGCUUUGACGGGUAGCCGGCCUGAGAGGGCGACCGGCCACAUUGGGACUGAGAUACGGCCCAGACUCCUACGGGAGGCAGCAGUGGGGAUUAUUGCACAAUGGGCGGAAGCCUGAUGCAGCAACGCCGCGUGCGGGAUGACGGCCUUCGGGUUGUAAACCGCUUUCAGCAGGGGCGAAGCUUGUGGUGACGGUACCUGCAGAAGAAGCACCGGCUAACUACGUG
rnacentral:rRNA from 1 species